rnacentral:rRNA from 1 species
GUUUGAUCCUGGCUCAGAACGUACGCUGGCGGCACGCCUAAUACAUGCAAGUCGAACGGGGUAGCAAUACCUAGUGGCAGACGGGUGAGUAACAUGUAGGUAUCUUCCCUUUGGUGAGGAAUAACACGAGGAAACUUGUGCUAAUACCUCAUAAGUCUUUACAGAGAAAGCUUUAUGCGCCAAUGGAUGAGCCUGCACUUGAUUAGUUUGUUGGUGGGGUAAAAGCCUACCAAGACUGUGAUCAAUAGCUGAUUUGAGAGGAUGAUCAGCCACAUUGGGACUGAGACACGGCCCAAACUCCUACGGGAGGCAGCAGUGGGGAAUCUUGCACAAUGGAGGAAACUCUGAUGCAGCGAUGCCGCGUGAGUGAAGAAGGCCUUUGGGUUGUAAAGCUCUUUCGUCGGGGAAGAAAAUGACUGUACCCGAAUAAGAAGGUCCGGCUAACUUCGUGCCAGCAGCCGCGGUAAUACGAAGGGACCUAGCGUAGUUCGGAAUUACUGGGCUUAAAGAGUUCGUAGGUGGUUGAAAAAGUUGGUGGUGAAAUCCCAGAGCUUAACUCUGGAACUGCCAUCAAAACUUUUCAGCUAGAGUAUGAUAGAGGAAAGCAGAAUUUCUAGUGUAGAGGUGAAAUUCGUAGAUAUUAGAAAGAAUACCAAUUGCGAAGGCAGCUUUCUGGAUCAUUACUGACACUGAGGAACGAAAGCAUGGGUAGCGAAGAGGAUUAGAUACCCUGGUAGUCCACGCCGUAAACGAUGACAACUAGCUGUUGGGAGACAAGAUCUCUCAGUGGCGCAGCUAACGCUUUAAGUUGUCCGCCUGGGGAGUACGGCCGCAAGGUUAAAACUCAAAUGAAUUGACGGGGACCCGCACAAGCGGUGGAGCAUGUGGUUUAAUUCGAUGCAACGCGAAAAACCUUACCUACUCUUGACAUACUUGGAAGCUCUUGUAAUGAGAGUGUGCUUUUAGAGCCAAGAUACAGGUGCUGCAUGGCUGUCGUCAGCUCGUGUCGUGAGAUGUUGGGUUAAGUCCCAUAACGAGCGCAACCCUUACCCUUAUUUGCCAGCGGUUCGGCCGGGAACUAUAAGGGGACUGCCGGUGACAAACCGGAGGAAGGUGAGGACGACGUCAAGUCAUCAUGGCCCUUACGAGUAGGGCUACACACGUGCUACAAUGGGGAAUACAGACGGACGCUAAAGCGUGAGCUGGUGCUAAUCCUAAAAAAUUUCUCGUAGUCCGGAUUGCAGUCUGCAACUCGACUGCAUGAAGUCGGAAUCGCUAGUAAUCGCGAAUCAGCAUGUCGCGGUGAAUACGUUCUCGGGUCUUGUACACACCGCCCGUCACACCAUGGAAGUGUGUUGCACCAGAAGUAGGUAGUCUAACCUUCGGGAAGGCGCUUACCACGGUGUGAUCCAUGACUGGGGUGAAGUCAUAACAAGGUAACCGUA